rnacentral:snRNA from 1 species
GUGCUCACUUCGGCAGCACAUACACUAAAAUUGGAACGAUAAAGAGAAGAUUAGCAUGGCCCCUGCACAAGAAUGACACGCAAAUUCGUGAAGCGUUCCAUACUUUU